UAAAUGAAACUUUGAUAAUUAAUUGAAAUAUGAUUACCUCUGCUGAGGUGGUGAUUGGCUGAAACAGAGGGGAAGAACAAGCUGAUGACUGACAUGGAAAAGAAAAUGUCACAGAACUGAACAAUAAUAAUCUCU